rnacentral:rRNA from 1 species
UACGUAGGGGGCGAGCGUUGUCCGGAUUUAUUGGGCGUAAAGCGCAUGCAGGCGGUCCUGUAAGUUUGGAGUGACAGUUUCCGGCUCAACCGGGAAAGUGCUUUGAAAACUGCAGGACUUGAGGGCUUCAGAGGGACACGGAAUUCCAGGUUGAGCGGUGAAAUGCGUAGAGAUCUGGAAGAACACCGAAGGCGAAGGCAGCGUCCUGGGAAGUCACUGACGCUCAUGUGCGAAAGCCAGGGGAGCGAACGGG